rnacentral:rRNA from 1 species
GAGCGAACGCUGGCGGCAGGCUUAACACAUGCAAGUCGAGCGCCCCGCAAGGGGAGCGGCAGACGGGAGAGUAACACGUGGGAACGUACCUUUCAGUUCGGAACAACCAAGGGAAACUUUGGCUAAUACCGAAUACGCCCGUAAGGGGAAAGAUUUAUCGCUGAAAGAUCGGCCCGCGUCUGAUUAGCUAGUUGGUGGGGUAAUGGCCCACCAAGGCGACGAUCAGUAGCUGGUCUGAGAGGAUGAUCAGCCUCAUU